rnacentral:rRNA from 1 species
GCGGCAGACGGGUGAGUAACGCGUGGGAAUCUACCAUUUGCUACGGAACAACAGUUGGAAACGACUGCUAAUACCGUAUGUGCCCUAACGGGGAAAGAUUUAUCGGCAAAUGAUGAGCCCGCGUUGGAUUAGCUAGUUGGUGGGGUAAAGGCCUACCAAGGCGACGAUCCAUAGCUGGUCUGAGAGGAUGAUCAGCCACACUGGGACUGAGACACGGCCCAGACUCCUACGGGAGGCAGCAGUGGGGAAUAUUGGACAAUGGGCGCAAGCCUGAUCCAGCCAUGCCGCGUGAGUGAUGAAGGCCCUAGGGUUGUAAAGCUCUUUCACCGGUGAAGAUAAUGACGGUAACCGGAGAAGAAGCCCCGGCUAACUUCGUGCCAGCAGCCGCGGUAAUACGAAGGGGGCUAGCGUUGUUCGGAUUUACUGGGCGUAAAGCGCACGUAGGCGGACUUUUAAGUCAGGGGUGAAAUCCCGGGGCUCAACCCCGGAACUGCCUUUGAUACUGGAAGUCUUGAGUAUGGAA